rnacentral:rRNA from 1 species
UGCCAGCCGCCGCGGUAAUACGAAGGUGGCAAGCGUUGUUCGGAAUCACUGGGCUUAAAGAGCACGUAGGCGGCCUGUCAAGCGUCUUGUGAAAUCCCUCGGCUCAACCGAGGAACUGCUUGGCGAACUGGCAGGCUUGAGGUAGGUAGGGGCACACGGAACUCUUGGUGGAGCGGUGGAAUGCGUAGAUAUCAAGAGGAACGCCGGUGGCGAAGGCGGUGUGCUGGGCCUAUCCUGACGCUGAGGUGCGAAAGCCAGGGGAGCGAACGGGAUUAGAUA